rnacentral:rRNA from 1 species
GCCCCUACGGGGCGCAGCAGUGGGGGAUAUUGGACAAUGGGGGAAACCCUGAUCCAGCGAUGCCGCGUGCAGGAAGACGGCUCUAUGAGUUGUAAACUGCUUUUGUACGAGGGUAAACGCAGAUACGUGUAUCUGUCUGAAAGUAUCGUACGAAUAAGGAUCGGCUAACUCCGUGCCAGCAGCCGCGGUAAUACGGAGGAUUCAAGCGUUAUCCGGAUUUAUUGGGUUUAAAGGGUGCGUAGGCGGUUGGAUAAGUUAGAGGUGAAAUCCCGGGGCUCAACUCCGGAAUUGCCUCUGAUACUGUU